CCACAUCCCACAGCUACGAUGGCUGCUGCGGGAUUUGAAUUUAGGACGUUCUUGUUGGGCCCGACUCCCAGAGAGGCAAAUUAACCAAAAGUCUCAGGGACUUCCUAACAGAGAGUGAAGUGUCUCUGACCUUUAGACACACGUUCAAACCUGGAAGAACUUUAAAGGCAGAUGCUCAACGCCCCCCACCCCCCAACACGGAUUUUGAUGACGUUGGUCUGGGUGCCCACAGGAGGCGCUUCUCUGUACCAUCUCACUACCGGACGUCAAUACAAACGCGCAGAGGUGACUUCCUCAAGGACACAGUGGUGCAGCAGGGAUUUCACCAAGGAUCUUUUGCCAAAGCCGGUACUCCCCACAUCCACAGUAAUAUAUUGAUAGAUUCUUAAAGGAAGACAUUCUCUGUUAGCAGAUGAGACAGACAACAUGGCACAGUUCACUCAGAGCUCAGAGCUGUCUACCCGCGGGGUCAUCUCUUGCUGCAUCCAGAAAGCUGCAACAGAAAGAGACCCUUCUAAGCCUAGGCUUUAAAACUGAGAGGGACCCUGGGAAUCUCAUCCUCCAGCUGCCUGCACUGUAAGGAUAGAGACACCCAGAUCAGGAGAGAAGUGACUUGCCCAAGGUCACCUGUUGGCAGUGGGCACAGCGUAAGCAUCUGGUCUCCAAGUCCUGGGCUCCCACAGCCCUGAAGGCUGGCUCGACUGGAGGGAAUCAGUCCUCUGACCUCAGAUGUGCAGGCUCUUUUCCAAUGCACAUUUCUAACUAACCAUGCCUUUAGGGCCGGACACAGAGGCUCGCACCUGUAAUCCCAGCACUUUGGGAGGCUGACCUGGAAGGGUCGCUUGAGCCCAGGAGUUCAAGACCAGCCUGGGCAAUGUAGUGAGAACCUGUCUCUACAAAAAUAAAAAUAAAAAAAAUUAGCUGGGCA
rnacentral:lncRNA from 13 species